GACGAACGCUGGCGGCGUGCCUAAUACAUGCAAGUCGAGCGGACGGAUGGGAGCUUGCUCCCAGACCGUCAGCGGCGGACGGGUGAGUAACACGUGGGCAACCUGCCUGUAAGACUGGGAUAACUCCGGGAAACCGGGGCUAAUACCGGAUAACUCUUUCCCUCACAUGAGGGAAAGCUGAAAGAUGGCAUCUCGCUAUCACUUACAGAUGGGCCCGCGGCGCAUUAGCUAGUUUGUGAGGUAACGGCUCAGCAGGGCGACGAUGCGUAGCCGACCUGAGGGGGUGAUCGGCCACCCUGGGACUGAGACACGGCCCAGACUCCUACGGGAGGCAGCAGUAGGGAAUCUUCCGCAAUGGACGAAAGUCUGACGGAGCAACGCCGCGUGAGUGAUGAAGGUUUUCGGAUCGUAAAACUCUGUUGUCAGGGAAGAACAAGUACCGGAGUAACUGCCGGUACCUUGACGGUACCUGACCAGAAAGCCACGGCUAACUACGUG
rnacentral:rRNA from 1 species